UACGGGGGGGGCAAGCGUUGUUCGGAAUUACUGGGCGUAAAGGGCUCGUAGGCGGCCAACUAAGUCGGAUGUGAAAUCCCCAGGCUUAACCUGGGAACUGCAUCCGAUACUGGAUGGCUUGAAUCCGGGAGAGGGAUGCGGAAUUCCAGGUGUAGCGGUGAAAUGCGUAGAUAUCUGGAGGAACACCGGUGGCGAAGGCGGCAUUCUGGACCAUAACUGACACUGAGAGACGAAAGCCAGGGGAGCAAAACGGG
rnacentral:rRNA from 1 species